UGUUAUGAUUUUUAUUUUUUUAAAAGUUUUGUUCUAUAAUUACAUAUUGAAACUUCAAUUUCAUCAUUAAAUCAGACUAGAUCAAAGUACUUUAACACUACCCACUAUCGCAAACUUGCUUUAAAGGUAAUUAGAUAUGGAAUAUCAGAUGAAGCAGCUGCCGCCGUAGCUAAUGCUCUACUUCAAGAUAUUGGUUAUCUACAUCUAAAUAAACCAAGUCUAUUGAAGAGAGAGAAAGAACGAGUAUGUUUUAAUGCUAAUUUUGAGCAAUCUAAAGUUUCAAAUAUAAAGGCAAUUUGUUUGGAUACCAAAUAUAAUAAAAACUCAUUGAUUUAUGAACAGAGAGAUAUUGAUGGUGAAAUAAAACUUUGUAAAUCUACGAGCACUGUAGACCACUUGACAUUCACAUUUGAAUCAGGCGAGUUGCAAGGUCAUAUCUUAAGCACAUAGUUGUACCUAAAGAAAAAGAUAAAGGAAAAGAUCUUGCUGAAUUUACCUGUGAUGUUCUCAAGGAGUUUAAGAGUGAUAAAAGUAUCCAGGGAAUAAUUUUGGACAAUACAAGUGUUAAUACAGGUAAAGAUAAUGGUUUAGUUGCUUGUCUUGAAAGAAUAUUAAAAAGAAGAAUUCAUAUAAUUGGCUGUCUUCUACAUGUUAACGAGUUACCAUUGUGCUAAACUUGAUAAUUCUUCUAAUAGCUCAAAUAGUUAUUCUGAACCAGUUGGAAAAUCUUUGACAAAUCCAAUUGAUUUAAAUUUAACUGUUGACUUCAUACAAGUUGAGACAUACGUUGAAUAUCCUUCUCCCUGUGUCAUUAAAGACCUCUCUGCUGACCAGAGAAUGUUACUGGAAUACAGUAUUGGAUUUUCAUGAGGGUUUUCAGACAAUAAGUAUCUGAGAAAAAAAAUAGAACAAUCAAUUCCAAUGGAGAGCUCAACAUCUUUGUUGAAUAUAUUCAAACAGUAUAUACUCCUAUAUGGUUUAAUAUUAAAAAGUCUAAGAGUUUCACAGAAGAUCCUAAACUCAUUUUCCAAUUUAUUCAGCGGAUUUUAAGGUUGAAUAUUGGAGUUCAAAAUAUUGCAUUGCCCAUAUUUUAUAGAAACUCUUUUUGUCUCCAACCUGAGAAUUUUAUUGCUGCUCUACUUUAUUCUGAAGAACAGGUUUAUAGAACAAUAACUGUUGUUAAGAUUUUGGAAACAAGAAAAACCCUAAUUAAGGAUCCUAAAAAUGGAUUAAAAAAUGGUAUUAGGGUUUAUGCAAUUCCAGUUAUUAAUUGAAAAUGUAAAAAGUGGUCAAAAUUAAUAAAUUUGUAUGAUUUGUUUUGAGCCCCCUUAUCUGGAAGAUAUAUUAAAUGAGG
rnacentral:misc_RNA from 1 species